AGCAUUAUUUCAAAUAAUUAAUUAUUAGCUAAUAAGAUGAGCUUGACUUAAUUUAUCACUGAUAAGAUGAUUGUUAUAGAAACAUGACAUUUUUAUUCUACGAGUGAAAUGAAGAAUUUUUUAUAAGAAUAUUAUUAUUAAGGUUUGAUAAAAAUAGUAAAUAUUACUGCUUUUUAAGUCAUGCAUAGCCUAUCUCCACUUAUAAUUGUUCUUAGUAGGCACUGAUUAAUCAUUGCAUACAAAAAUAAAUUAAAUUCCACUCUAACAUUGGGAAGGUAGGAUCUUCCCAAUGUUUCAUCUACAACAGAGGCCCACCCAUUGUGUGAAGUAUAACGAGACUUUUUUUUAAUAUUAAAAAAUAAAUAAUU